GCUGGGUAGCUAUGUGUGGACGGGAUAAGCGCUGAAAGCAUCUAAGCGUGAAGCCCCCCUCAAGAUGAGAUUUCCCAUACUUUAAAAGUAGUAAGACCCCUGAAAGACGAUCAGGUUGAUAGGUUUGGAGUGGAAGCUUAGCAAUAAGUGGAGCGGACAAAUACUAAUCGGUCGAGGACUUAUCCAAA
rnacentral:rRNA from 1 species